GCGACCCCAGGAUGGGCGGGGUGACCCGCU
rnacentral:rRNA from 1 species